UAUAGAGGUCUCAAGCGUUGUUCGGAUUCAUUGGGCGUAAAGGGUGCGUAGGCGGCGCGGUAAGUCGGGUGUGAAAUCUCGGAGCUUAACUCCGAAACUGCAUUCGAUACUGCCGUGCUUGAGGACUGGAGAGGAGACUGGAAUUUACGGUGUAGCGGUGAAAUGCGUAGAUAUCGUAAGGAAGACCAGUGGCGAAGGCGGGUCUCUGGACAGUUCCUGACGCUGAGGCACGAAGGCCAGGGGAGCAAACGGG
rnacentral:rRNA from 1 species